CUGUGUAAGUGCUAUACCUGUGUCCACGUUUGUGUGUAUAUUUUUUGUACUUCUGUUAUUGUUAUUGUUUAACUGUGAUCAGUAGGAGGUUAACGGGGGUUCACACAGAGGGGAAGGAGAUAAAAGAACGAGCUUGGCUGUUAAAGACUAGGGGUCGUGAGCAGGUAAAGCGAAGCGUAGACGACGGCUAACAAAUGAAAACGUUCACCAUUCCCGUCUAUCCGGCAACGCAACAUAGCCGACAAGCGUCACAGUAGCAGCAUAUGUUGCGAGACCAAGCCACCUGGAGUCGUAUCUGCCAGGCCGUUCGACAAAUAACUGUGGAAUUGCAGCGUUCCUGGGAUGCGGAAAGGGCCAAUUGCGCAGCCGAGGACAUGGCUCAGCGCGAGGCCGAGCUGGAGGAAAUUACGGCACAUAGAGCGGAGGUGGUUGCCGCUCGUAAUAAUCGGCGUAAUUCGAGACGUAGAGAGCAGCGCAGUGCAGCGUGCGCGGGAAAGAGAGGAACGCCGGGGCGGACGGUCCCCUUCCCCUCCACCGUCACCAUCUACCGCUUCCCGACGUGAGGCGAAUCGGAUUGACCCGCAGGACUCCGGGAUGCUUCGGAUUGCUCCGACCCGGUGAGUUCCAGUUGCCCCGCCUUUCACUAGUGUGUGUAAGGAAGAACGUGCGUGAGUUGUCGGAUCGCUGACCAAGGAGUAGGAGAAGGAGGUAAAAAUGAGUUUAUGUUUAACGAGCCCGUUGCAACAAUAAUAAUUAGAAAAUAGACUUCAAAUAUAUUUGUGUUUUUCGGAAGCAUUUAUCAAAUACGA